GACGAACGCUGGCGGCGUGCCUAAUACAUGCAAGUAGAACGAGUUGCGAACGGGUGAGUCACGCGUGGUAACCUGCCUCAUAGCGGGGGAUAACUAUUGGAAACGAUAGCUAAUACCGCAUACUUUUAGCUGGACCUGCUUUGUAUUAGCUAGUUGUUGAGGUAAAGGCUCACCAAGGCGACGAUACAUAGCCGACCUGAGAGGAUGAACAGCCAAACUGGAACUGAGACACGGUCCAGACUCCUACGGGAGGCAGCAGUGGGGAAUAGUGCACAAGGGGCGCAAGCCUGAUGCAGCCAUGCCGAGUGUAUGAAGAAGGCCUUCGGGUUGUAAAGUACUUUCAGCGGGGAGGCGUUACUCGCAGAAGAAGCACCGGCUAACUCCGUGCCAGCAGCCGCGGUAAUAC
rnacentral:rRNA from 1 species